rnacentral:ncRNA from 2 species
AUCUGAUAAGGGUAAUCCUGUUAAAAGACAGGUGCACAAAGUUAAGUUCUAAGGUGUGCAGCACUAUGAAUGUUUAACUGCCGGA